rnacentral:rRNA from 1 species
GAUGAACGCUGGCGGCGUGCUUAACACAUGCAAGUCGAACGAGAAGUGAAGACGGAAACCUUCGGGCGGAAGGCUUUAUUUCGAGUGGCGGACGGGUGAGUAACGCGUGGGUAACCUGCCUCAUACAGGGGGAUAACAGUUGGAAACGACUGUUAAUACCGCAUAAGACCACAGCACCGCAUGGUGCGGGGGUAAAAACUCCGGUGGUAUGAGAUGGACCCGCGUUCGAUUAGCCAGUUGGCGGGGUAACGGCCCACCAAAGCGACGAUCGAUAGCCGAUCUGAGAGGAUGACCGGCCACAUUGGGACUGAGACACGGCCCAAAUUCCUACGGGAGGCAGCAGUGGGGAAUAUUGCACAAUGGGGGAAACCCUGAUGCAGCGACGCCGCGUGAGUGAAGAAGUAUUUCGGUAUGUAAAGCUCUAUCAGCAGGGAAGAAAAUGACGGUACCUGAGUAAGAAGCCCCGGCUAACUACGUG